GACGAACGCUGGCGGCGUGCUUAACACAUGCAAGUCGAACGGAAAGGCCCUGCUUUUGUGGGGUGCUCGAGUGGCGAACGGGUGAGUAACACGUGAGUAACCUGCCCUUGACUUUGGGAUAACUUCAGGAAACUGGGGCUAAUACCGGAUAGGAGCUCCUGCUGCAUGGUGGGGGUUGGAAAGUUUCGGCGGUUGGGGAUGGACCCGCGGCUUAUCAGCUUGUUGGUAGGGUAGUGGCUUACCAAGGCUUUGACGGGUAGCCGGCCUGAGAGGGUGACCGGCCACAUUGGGACUGAGAUACGGCCCAGACUCCUACGGGAGGCAGCAGUGGGGAAUAUUGCACAAUGGGCGGAAGCCUGAUGCAGCAACGCCGCGUGCGGGAUGACGGCCUUCGGGUUGUAAACCGCUUUCGCCUGUGACGAAGCGUGAGUGACGGUAAUGGGUAAAGAAGCACCGGCUAACUACGUG
rnacentral:rRNA from 1 species